UUAGGUUUAAUUCGAUCGACAACGACGAAAAACCUUACCCACCUUUGACAUGGCAGGAAGUAUUUAGAGAUAGAUAUGUGCCCGAAAGGGAACCUGCACACAGGUGCUGCAUGGCUGUCGUCAGCUCGUGUCGUGAGAUGUUGGGUUAAGUCCCGCAACGAGCGCAACCCUUGCCAUUAGUUGCUACGAAAGGGCACUCUAAUGGGACUGCCGGUGACAAACCGGAGGAAGGUGGGGAUGACGUCAAGUCCUCAUGGCCCUUAUAGGUGGGGCUACACACGUCAUACAAUGGCUGGUACAGAGGGUUGCCAACCCGCGAGGGGGAGCUAAUCCCAUAAAGCCAGUCGUAGUCCGGAUCGCAGUCUGCAACUCGACUGCGUGAAGUCGGAAUCGCUAGUAAUCGCGGAUCAGAAUGUCGCGGUGAAUACGUUCCCGGGUCUU
rnacentral:rRNA from 1 species